CCUACAUACACCAAAUUAGUAGUAAUCCUGCAGGGACAACACUUUCUAGAGGCGGUUCCAGGAAAAGGUGGGCAUUUUGAAGGCCGGAUCCCUAAUGCAACUGUGGAGAAUUUGGGAGAGAUUUUGGACUACGGGGCUGUCAUUUAGCCCUGUGUAUCAUUGUUUUGUUUCCCCUCCAAUACAAACGCCCACAUUUAAACCAAAACAUUAUUUUGAAACAGCCAGCCAGGCUUGUGAUUGACUGUUUUGUGAGAACAGCUAGACACCAAAACCUGGCUCUCCUUGUUGCCAGGGUCAAAUAGCAGCUAACAUGACAGAACUUGUGUUGGGCUCCAUUCCUGGAAAUCUGCAACUAGUUUAUGGGUCAUAGUGCCAUGACCACAUCCUUGGCAUGGAUUUAGACUCUGUACCCAUGACUGCCUACUACAUCAGAUUAUGAUCUCCAAAUAUAUUGUAUGUAACAAAUCACUUUUAUUACUGUGAAGAGAAUAGUGUGGUAACAUGACAGCUUGUUUACCGUGACUCCUAAGGAGUAGAAGCCAGCAUGAUUCCUAGGUCAGAGAGUAUCACUCUUUAUGUUAGUAAAGAACUGUGAAUGAUUUGCUUUGAUAUUUUAUUUAUUAAGUUUAUCCUGCCUUUCUUCCAAUAAGCACAGGGGGUUCUGGGUUCUCCCUGCCUCAUGGCCAUUUUAUCCUCACUACAAAGUGAGGUAGACGAGGUUGAAAGAGAGCGAUCGGUCUAAGGUGACCCAGUGAGUUUCAUGGCCAAGUGGGGAUUUGAAUUUGGCUCUCCCCAAGCUGAGGGCAAUGUUUUCCCAAACUUGAGGAGAAAAUAUAAUCCUCAGUAUUUUGCUGUUUAUAUGGUUUUGAAAAUUAUGUAUACUGUAAAAUUUUUAACUCUUUGAAAUUGUCUUUUAUAAAGAGCUAAUUAGUGUAUUUAUAAUAUUUUGUUUGCGGCUUUUGUCUAUGUUUGUUGUAAACUGUUUUGAAUAUACUGUAUACAAAAAGCAGUGUACAAAUAAUGUGCCUGUGACUGACAAGAGUGAUUCUUAUGGGAUAGGGACAGCAUUUUCUUCAUCAAACAAGUGAAGCCAGGUGAGCAAAUUCCACCAAAAGAUGACUAAUUUGUUCCCCACAAGAGCAUUAUAAAAACCUUAUCUGGUGAAAGUGUCCUCUUCUGCGCCUAAUAUACAUCUAGUUGUAACAUUUUAAUUUGUGGGAUUCAUUAUCAUAUAUUUGUGAGAGUACAAGUUCUAACAUUUUUGUCAAAAUAUCCCUGGAGAUGUUCAUUUGAACAUCAUCUUUUGCUGUUGCUCUCAUGUUGUUUACAGGCUUCCCAUAGGCAUCUGCUUGGCUGCUGUAAAAACAGGAUGCUGGACUAGAUGAUCUAGUGGGCUUGUCUUAUGUUUUAGAAGUGGAUCUUUGGCUUGUCAAGAGUCAGUCUUUUGACUGUUACAUUGAAGAUCUGUAUUGACAAAAACUUUUCUAUGGAUUUAACCAAAUGAAACUACGUGAAUAACCUCAGAAGCCAUUCUCAUUGGAUACAAAAUGUUAUUAGCACUGGUCCAAAGUGAUCAAUUAUAUCAAGGUAAGCCAGAUGGUUGGACGACAUUUCCCAUCAUCCCUGGCCUUUGGCCAUGAUGGUUGGGGCUGAUUGGACUUGUGGUUGAACAACAUCUAGAGAAUAUCGACUUCCGGGGUGGCGCCAUCGGCAAUGGCAGACUCCCUCUGAUCUGGAAGGUCUAGCUCCGCGCGAAACGGGUCUUUUCCGCUACGGCGAAGCGGGGACCCUUUCAAAAAUCACAGGCGGAUGAAGCCUGUGACCAUGGGACUCGGCGGGCACCCUUAGCGCCCCCCCAACCCACAAAGGAACCCACUAUCGGGCUCCGAAGCGAAGAGGGGGAAGUGGCGCGGUGCUGAGAGUCAACUGCUAUUUCCGUGGAGCGAAGCCGCAUAGCUGUUGCUGGAGAGCGCUGCCUUUUUCCUGGGACAAUUUGGCUUCUAAAAUAAUCACCCGUGAGUACUUAAAUUUCGGACAAUUGGACUUUAAAUAAGGACUUGCGAGCAGAAAGGAAUUGGACUUAAAAAUUUACUUCAAUUUGGCACUGAAACGGGAAGGUCUAAACAGGAAGUCAGCCUUCCGUUUCUUUGUAGACAGAAUAAAGCAAAGACAACGUAAACUAAAGCUCAGAAAAUAGCUUCUAAAAGAUUAACUUUCAUCAUUUUAAAAUUGUUGAACCCCCCUUCGGAAGCAGGAGAAGAAGGGGGAUCUUAUUCGGACUGUUUAAACCUGCAGAAGUGAGUUUAAAGUAAAGUAACUUUCCACCGUCCUGAUCCUGGAGCGGGGUGUCAGGACUGACGUUUGAAGCUCAUUGACCAGAGACAAACAUUUUUGACAGAUAGCUAAAAGAAGAGAAACAUAGUGAUUCCACUGUUCCCUUUCGCAUUUUAAAGGAACAAAUAUUGACAAAAUAUCUCAAAAAGGAAACUUUGUUGCUAGAUUUGUACGUAAAAGAAAGAACAAAUAGAAGUUUUCCCCCUAGAGGGAGACUGUGAAACUGUAACUAAUUCCAGGAGCUUGCAGCUGUUACAGAUUACAAUCGUGGGAAUAGACCUGUGACCUUGUAGGACAAUGUAUUCAGAAGCUCUGUGGUGUGCUCUCUGUAAAACAAAUGCCCUACUGGAACAGUUAAAUGAGAAGACGGAUUUGAUGACUAAUGCGGUCAGAAUUUUUGAACAGGCAGUGGGAAACUAUAUGGAGCCCACCCAGGAAUCAAAUCAGGAGUGUGCCCUGACAGAACAGAUGAGAGAAGAGGAUGUUGCUGAAUUUUGGGCGCCAGAGAUGGAGGGAGCUGUGGCCCUGCAGGAACAUGAGCUUUUGGACUUGACAAAUGAACUUGGAAAAAGCCAGAUUUGGAAAGAUAAAGUUUGGACUGGUUUGGAAAUGGGGGGUUGGAUAGACCCCCCUAUGCAGGGAUGUUUGGACUUUCCAAGUCUGGCAAUGGGCCGUGAGAUGUUUGGGGCUGUGGGGGCUCUUAAUUUUGGAGGGAUUCUGAAACAUGUUUUCAAAUACCACAUGGAGUUUAGUCUGGUCUUUGGAAAAGGGGCUGAUUUGUUGAAAAGGGUCAAAAACAUUACCAAGCUGGAGUUCCCACGAGUGAAAGGAGAAUAUGAAGAAGAGCCGCGGAAGGGACAUGGAAGAGACUUAAGGGCCUCGGAUAUAAGGUUACCAGGUUAAUGCGCUAGAUCAAUGGGAUAAAAAGGACUGACAAAACCCGGGACCAGGAGGAAAGGACGCUGGAUGAAGAUUGGAUUGUUUUUAUUUCUUUUUAUUAUUAUUAGGAUUGUUUUAUAAAAUUGAUGAAUGUUAGAAAAAUGUUGGAACGAAAUUACUUGGCUCUAGCAAAAAUGUUUAAAGAAUUAGGUAAGAAUAUUAUGGUUAUGAGAAGUUGGUAAAAAUAAGAUUUAAGUUUUAAGUUUUAAGGUUUUCUAUAAGAUAAGAUGAAAAUAGAUUAAGGUAAUGUAAUGACAGAAUAUUAUGAAAUAUGGAAAGGAUUUGCUGCGAUAAUUAAUAACUAGGAUACAAAAAAAGGGAGGAGGAGGAGGUCAAAGAAAGAAGGUAAUGAAAGUUGAGGAUUCGAGAAUGAUGGAUUUGUUUUUAUCUGUUUGUGGUAUAUUUUUGUUUUUUGAAUCUGCAUUGUUUGAUGUGGUUUGUUUUCUCUUUGUUUUCUCUUUUUUCUUUUUCUGCUGUGUUUUUUUCUGUAAUUUUAAAAUUUUUCAAUAAAUAUCAUUAAAAAAUAAAAUAAACUAAAGGCAGUUGGUUUACAAAACAACAACAACAACAUCUAGAGAAUAUCAUGUUGAUGGCCCUUUAUUGUUUUUGCAGCACUCACCAGUCAAGUAUCCAGGGAGGGGGGGAGAAUUAUUUGUAUCUCUGGGAAGUUGAUAAGAUAUUUGAAGAUAUGAUAUAUGAAAUGGAAUGUUUAUUAAGUAAUUCAGUUGAUUUCUUUGCUUCUUAUUUCCCAGCAACCACUACAGCUGUAGAAUUCAUUUGACAGUUGUUGAAUUUCUGCUGUAACAAAAAUCUUGGCCCAAGCACCUUGGCGACAAUCCAGUGAUGGACUUAAGACCAAUGAAAUUAGAAAGCUUAAGUGUGCUUUUCUUUCAGUUGAGUUUUGGCUUUCGUUGUAAAAGAAAGGUCACAGAUGGGACAUAGUUGAAAGGGACACACACACAAAACCACACUGUACUUGCCUUGUCAAAUAUAGUACAAGCAGUUGCAGUCUUCAAAUAAUUUGGUUCUCUACUAAAAUCUGCUCACUAACAGGAUUUAUGAAGUCCAAUACAUCUGGGCAGUCAUGAAGAAAACCAUGUAAAUUAUUAUAUUAGUUGACUCAAAAUUUCCAAGCCAACCUUAGAAUCAUAUCCCAUAUUUAUGAACAUUAUUUGAUAUAUAGCAAGCAAUAACAAUGGGUUGUAGGCUUGUUAAUAUGUUGUGAGGGUUUGAUAAAACCAAUCCCUUAGUUUGCUUUGCAGACUGGUGCUGUGUAGCUGUAAACAAUAAAUAUUUGGGAAGGUAACUAAACACAUCCUUAGUGUUAAGUUGUGGGUUGACAUAGCAGACAACACAGCGAUUUCUCCAAAGCAGCUCUUUAUUUUGUAAGCUGGAACAGAACUAACUGAGGAGCUCAGUCAGCCUGCUUAUAUAGAGCUACAGAACAAUUGUAACUGUUGCAACGUUCUAAAACUAUCCAAUCACUGAACGUCACUUUUCGAUCCUUCAUUUGCAUACAAAACUAUCCAAUCACUGAACGUCACUUUUCGAUCCUUCAUUUGCAUAACUAUCUACAGUAUCGCCCUGCUGGCCCAGGGUGAGAACUUCAGUACAUAACACUUAGCUUGAAUGAAUCCAAAACAUUAGACUGCUGAGACUACAGUCCUUAAUGCUUUACUAGAAAGUAAAGUCCAUUGAACAUAGUGGAACUUGCUUAUAAAUAAAUUUAUCUGAGACCAAGCAGCUGAUGAUUGACAAAAAUCCUAAGCACAGGAAGUUGCUACACACACACUCAGCAUGUGUGUACCCCAGCUGAGCUGGGAUGGGGUAGUUAUGGUGGUGUAGCUCAGCUGAGCUGAUAACCAGCCAGCUGAGCCAGAGAUUCACUGAAUCCAAAAUUGCUUAUCCCUGUGAUUCUGCUCAGAAUUGCUCCCUGAGGCUCCUAUAUGUAAUUUUCAAAAUAUUUUCUGGCAAACUUCAUCUAAGAUACAGUGAAGUACUUGAAUUUAAGAUGAUUUAGUCCCACUGAGAUCAAUGGAACUAAAUCCAUCUUCUUUUACUUGACUAGAUUAUAGCCUGAUCUGUAAUUCUGAAUCGUAAGUAUGUAUGCUGUUUUAUGUAGGAGGCUAGGAGCUAUUGGAAUACAAAUGGGUUUAUUAACCACCUUUUCCAUCUCUGACUCCUUUUUGAAUUUUCUUUUAAAAGUCAACUUUUCCUUUCAUUAAUUGAUUAAUUUCCUUAACUGAAUCUCACUCAAUUUGGUACUUAAUUUGAUGCGACAAAUUCAUUGUUUUUCCUAAAAUUUCUGCAUGGUGAAUAUUCUCUUGAAUAUAUUCCCAUAUAACAGGAGCUGUGUUUGAAUGCCUUUUGGAUAAUAAUUGAGGACAUGCGGAGUCUCAGAUUUCACCAUACAAGGGCAUGUUUUUGUGCACAGAAAAAGUACCUUUGGUGAUACUUUUAGACCAGAUCAUCCUAAGAACAGGUUUCAAACAUUCUGCAAUAUUGAACUCUUACAAAGCCUUUUUUCGAUGUUUAUUUAUAACUUUCAUUUAUUUAUUUAGAACUACUGUGAUCAACAUUACACUGGAAGGUCCCAGGGCAGUGAUGCGUUCAUAUUAAAAUGAAAUAAUGGUACAUUAAAGAGAACAUUACAUUGUCAAAAUAAUUCAUCAUAAACAUCACAAAGCAGGAAAACCAUCAAGCAGUAGCAAGGUUUAUCCUCCUUUUCCUGGUACCUUAGUUGGGAUUUACCCCACCUACUCAUAUUCUUUAAAUAAUACACCAUCACACUCAGAAUACUGGAAGUGUUUAAAAAAUAUCUCACAUACAAGAGCAUUUCUAUUAUUUAGUAUCCACAAUGCUCAGUCUGAAAGCUUUCUUAAAUUGGUUUUACAUUCUUCCACAUUUCAAAAAUCUGCACUUUAUUCUGCCAUUUUUUUCAUUUGAUGUCACAGUUAUUCAGAUGUCACAGCUACAGAUGGACUACUGUUUGAGGCACCUCCAGACCUUCUCCUUUUGUGUUCCUGAAAGAGGGUGUGUUAGCAUCACAUAUAACGUGAGUACUACUUAAAAAAAUACUUUUGCCUCACAAGUUCUUGGACACUUAACGGAUGGUCCGCAGGUCAUUCUUUAUCACCACGAGACCUAAUUCCCCAUAUGGUAGCCUUUUCAUGUCUCUCUAGUGGCAUUUCUGGG